rnacentral:rRNA from 1 species
UACGUAGGGCGCAAGCGUUGUCCGGAAUUAUUGGGCGUAAAGAGCUCGUAGGCGGCUUGUCACGUCGGGUGUGAAAGCCCGGGGCUUAACCCUGGAAAGGCGGUGGAAACUGAAUUGCUAGAGUGUCGUAGGGGUAGAGGGAAUUCCCGGUGUAGCGGUGAAAUGCGUAGAGCUCGGGAAGAACAUCGGUGGCGAAAGCGCUCUACUGGACGACAACUGACACUCAGGGACGAAAGCUAGGGGAGCGAAUGGG